rnacentral:rRNA from 1 species
UACAGAGGCCUCAAGCGUUAUCCGGAUUUAUUGGGCGUAAAGAGCAUGUAGGCGGAUAUAUUAGUCAGAUGUCAAAUCUUCGAGCUCAACUCGAAAACUGCAUUUGAAACGGUAUAUCUAGAGAGAGUGAGAGAUCGAUGGAACAUAUGGUGUAGCAGUGAAAUGCGUUGAUAUCAUAUGGAACACCAAAGGCGAAGGCAUUCGAUUGGCACUUUUCUGACGCUGAGAUGCGAAAGCGUGGGUAGCGAAUGGG